rnacentral:rRNA from 1 species
AUGACCGCACCACCCGAGACCGCGGCCACACGAAAAAACGGCGGCGAUGAGGAGGCCCGGCCCUUGGCGCCGACCCGCGCUCCCGAGCGGCGGCGGCGUCGGAUCCGGCCGCCCCGCGGGGCCAGCCCUCCCGUCCGCGCCGCGCCGCGUCGCCGCCGGCAUGGAGGCCCGUGCUCGGGCAGCCGCCGCGGCGUCGUCGGCGUCGGUGCGGCGGCGGGGUCUUUGGGGACCGCGUGGCGGGGGACCGGCGCGGCUUCCGGUCGAGGGUUCCGGCGACGCCAAGCCGUAGAUCUGAGCCGCCGUCUGCACCUCGCUUCCUCCCAUGUUUCGAUCUGGAUUCUAUAA